rnacentral:rRNA from 1 species
GACGAACGCUGGCGGCGUGCUUAACACAUGCAAGUCGAACGGAAAAGCCCUGCUUUUGUGGGGUGCUCGAGUGGCGAACGGGUGAGUAACACGUGAGUAACCUGCCCUUGACUUUGGGAUAACUUCAGGAAACUGGGGCUAAUACCGGAUAGGAGCUCCUGCUGCAUGGUGGGGUUGGAAAGUUUCGGCGGUUGGGGAUGGACUCGCGGCUUAUCAGCUUGUUGGUGGGGUAGUGGCUUACCAAGGCUUUGACGGGUAGCCGGCCUGAGAGGGUGACCGGCCACAUUGGGACUGAGAUACGGCCCAGACUCCUACGGGAGGCAGCAGUGGGGAAUAUUGCACAAUGGGCGGAAGCCUGAUGCAGCAACGCCGCGUGCGGGAUGACGGCCUUCGGGUUGUAAACCGCUUUCGCCUGUGACGAAGCGUGAGUGACGGUAAUGGGUAAAGAAGCACCGGCUAACUACGUG